CAGCCGCCGCGGGAAUACAGAGGGUGCGAGCGUUAAUCGGAUUUACUGGGCGUAAAGCGUGCGUAGGCGGCUUCUUAAGUCGGAUGUGAAAUCCCUGAGCUUAACUUAGGAAUUGCAUUGAUACUGGGAAGCUAGAGUAUGGGAGAGGAUGGUAGAAUUCCAGGUGUAGCGGUGAAAUGCGUAGAGAUCUGGAGGAAUACCGAUGGCGAAGGCAGCCAUCUGGCCUAAUACUGACGCUGAGGUACGAAAGCAUGGGGAGCAAACAGGAUUAGAUACCCGAGUAGUCCCUGUCUCUUAUACA
rnacentral:rRNA from 1 species